AACUGAAAUAACAUUUGGAAUUUAGGGGUUUUAUUAAUUCAUACCUUGAAUGAUACCACCGGAAACACUCUAUUCAAGAAAUUUCUGCGAAUUCGAAAACAUGGAGAAGGAAACCAUUGCUGUUAGCAACAUAAAAAACGAAAUUUAGAUUAAAAAACAGAGAUAAGAUUAAGAUGAUGAUGAGGGGUAUAUACCAGAAGUUGGAAGGUGCUUCUUAUUUGGCGAUCUUAGAUGAAUGCCUGAAAGAAUAGUGUGUGGAUGAGUUGAAAGAAAUCGGGAUUUGGUAUUUAUAGGAAAGGAUGGAGUGUGGCAUAGAUUGGAAACCAUUGUUAACAUCUUCUUCCUUAUCACUCUCAUCUAACAUACCAUCCUCUCUUUACAUAUUCUUAACUGUCUUGAAUAAUAUAAUAUCUCAUCGCAGAAAAAAAAAAAAAAAAACUGUGGCUGGUCCAACUUGCUCUCUUUUUAUGUUGGAUGGGGUCGCCACGUUGGAUCCACGCCCACACAAUUCCACUAUAUAAUUAAGAAAGAAAUAAAACGAAGUAAAACUGGAAAACGUGAUACGACACGAUAUUCUUAUGUUGCACACCUGUGCGAUUUUCGUUGGGUAAAAUUAAAAUUUACAAAACAAAAUUUUUGGUUUUAAGGGCUACCAAUCUCUGUUGCUUACGCCUACCCUUUGGAUUGUGAAGCUCAAAUACACAACCGCGUUACUUGGCCUGAACUUGUUAGGGUUUAUGUAUGGGUUAAGUAUAAGAAUUUCUAUAAUUGGUUUUAAU
rnacentral:lncRNA from 1 species